rnacentral:rRNA from 1 species
CCUACGGGUGGCAGCAGUGGGGAAUAUUGCGCAAUGGGCGAAAGCCUGACGCAGCAACGCCGCGUGAGGGAUGAAGGUUUUCGGAUCGUAAACCUCUGUUAGCAGGGAAGAACGGUCACUGUGCUAAUCAGCAGUGAAUUGACGGUACCUGCAAAGGAAGCACCGGCUAACUCCGUGCCAGCAGCCGCGGUAAUACGGAGGGUGCGAGCGUUAAUCGGAGUUACUGGGCGUAAAGCGCGUGUAGGCGGUAUGUCAAGUCAAAGGUGAAAUCCUCGGGCUCAACGUGAGAACUGCCUUUGAAACGGGCAAACUUGAGUGUGGGAGAGGAGAGUGGAAUUCCAGGUGUAGGAGUGAAAUCCGUAGAUAUCUGGAGGAACACCAGUGGCGAAGGCGACUAUCUGGCACAUAACUGACGCUGAGGAGCGAAAGCGUGGGUAGCAAACAGGAUUAGAUACCCGAGUAGUC